rnacentral:rRNA from 2 species
GCGGACGGGUGAGUAACACGUGGGUAACCUGCCCAAAAGAAGGGGAUAACAUUUGGAAACAAAUGCUAAUACCGUAUAACCAUGAUGACCGCAUGGUCAUUAUGUAAAAGGUGGUUUUGCUAUCGCUUUUGGAUGGACCCGCGGCGUAUUAACUAGUUGGUAGGGUAACGGCCUACCAAGGUGAUGAUACGUAGCCGAGUUGAGAGACUGAUCGGCCACAAUGGGACUGAGACACGGCCCAUACUCCUACGGGAGGCAGCAGUAGGGAAUCUUCCACAAUGGGCGCAAGCCUGAUGGAGCAACGCCGCGUGAAUGAAGAAGGUCUUCGGAUCGUAAAAUUCUGUUGUUAGAGAAGAAUAUGAGUAAUAGUAACUGAUUAUUCACUGACGGUAUCUAACCAGCAAGUCACGGCUAACUACGUGCCAGCAGCCGCGGUAAUACGUAGGUGGCAAGCGUUGUCCGGAUUUAUUGGGCGUAAAGGGAACGCAGGCGGUUUUUUAAGUCUGAUGUGAAAGCCUUCGGCUUAACCGGAGAUGUGCAUUGGAAACUGGAAGACUUGAGUGCAGAAGAGGAGAGUGGAACUCCAUGUGUAGCGGUGAAAUGCGUAGAUAUAUGGAAGAACACCAGUGGCGAAAGCGGCUCUCUGGUCUGUAACUGACGCUGAGGUUCGAAAGCAUGGGUAGCGAACAGGAUUAGAUACCCUGGUAGUCCAUGCCGUAAACGAUGAAUGCUAGGUGUUGGAGGGUUUCCGCCCUUCAGUGCCGCAGCUAACGCAAUAAGCAUUCCGCCUGGGGAGUACGACCGCAAGGUUGAAACUCAAAGGAAUUGACGGGGGCCCGCACAAGCGGUGGAGCAUGUGGUUUAAUUCGAAGCAACGCGAAGAACCUUACCAGGUCUUGACAUCUUUUGACCACCUAAGAGAUUAGGUUUUCCCUUCGGGGACAAAAUGACAGGUGGUGCAUGGCUGUCGUCAGCUCGUGUCGUGAGAUGUUGGGUUAAGUCCCGCAACGAGCGCAACCCUUGUUGUCAGUUGCCAUCAUUUAGUUGGGCACUCUGGCGAGACUGCCGGUGACAAACCGGAGGAAGGGGGGGAUGACGGCAAGUCAUCAUCACCCUUAUGCCCUGGGCUACAC